GCCGACUUAGCUCACCUGGUAGAGCAGCUCCCUCGUAACGAGCAGGUAGUUGGUUCAAGUCCGACAGUCGGCU
rfam:Treponema sp. JC4 contig00006, whole genome shotgun sequence.